rnacentral:rRNA from 1 species
UACGUAGGCAGCAAGCGUUGUUCGGAGUUACUGGGCGUAAAGGGUGCGUAGGCGGCUUCUUAAGUCUGGUGUGAAAUCUCCCGGCUCAACUGGGAGGGUGCGCCGGAUACUGAGGGGCUAGAGUGUGGGAGAGGAAAGUGGAAUUCCUGGUGUAGCGGUGAAAUGCGCAGAUAUCAGGAGGAACACCGGUGGCGAAGGCGGCUUGCUGGGCCUUACCUGACGCUGAGGAGCGAAAGCGUGGGGAGCGAACAGG